AGCGGUAGCACAGAGAGCUUGCUCUCGGGUGACGAGCGGCGGACGGGUGAGUAAUGUCUGGGAAACUGCCUGAUGGAGGGGGAUAACUACUGGAAACGGUAGCUAAUACCGCAUAACGUCGCAAGACCAAAGUGGGGGACCUUCGGGCCUCAUGCCAUCAGAUGUGCCCAGAUGGGAUUAGCUGGUAGGUGGGGUAACGGCUCACCUAGGCGACGAUCCCUAGCUGGUCUGAGAGGAUGACCAGCCACACUGGAACUGAGACACGGUCCAGACUCCUACGGGAGGCAGCAGUGGGGAAUAUUGCACAAUGGGCGCAAGCCUGAUGCAGCCAUGCCGCGUGUGUGAAGAAGGCCUUCGGGUUGUAAAGCACUUUCAGCGGGGAGGAAGGCGGUGAGGUUAAUAACCUCAUCGAUUGACGUUACCCGCAGAAGAAGCACCGGCUAACUCCGUGCCAGCAGCCGCGGUAAUACGGAGGGUGCAAGCGUUAAUCGGAAUUACUGGGCGUAAAGCGCACGCAGGCGGUCUGUCAAGUCGGAUGUGAAAUCCCCGGGCUCAACCUGGGAACUGCAUUCGAAACUGGCAGGCUAGAGUCUUGUAGAGGGGGGUAGAAUUCCAGGUGUAGCGGUGAAAUGCGUAGAGAUCUGGAGGAAUACCGGUGGCGAAGGCGGCC
rnacentral:rRNA from 1 species